rnacentral:rRNA from 1 species
GAUGAACGCUGGCGGCGUGCCUAAUACAUGCAAGUCGAGCGAACAGACGAGGAGCUUGCUCCUCUGACGUUAGCGGCGGACGGGUGAGUAACACGUGGAUAACCUACCUAUAAGACUGGGAUAACUUCGGGAAACCGGAGCUAAUACCGGAUAAUAUAUUGAACCGCAUGGUUCAAUAGUGAAAGACGGUUUUGCUGUCACUUAUAGAUGGAUCCGCGCCGCAUUAGCUAGUUGGUAAGGUAACGGCUUACCAAGGCAACGAUGCGUAGCCGACCUGAGAGGGUAAUCGGCCCCACUGGAACUGAGACACGGUCCAGACUCCUACGGGAGGCAGCAGUAGGAAAUCUUCCGCAAUGGGCGAAAGCCUGACGGAGCAACGCCGCGUGAGUAAUGAAGGUCUUCGGAUCGUAAAACUCUGUUAUAGGGAAGAACAAAUGUGUAAGUAACUAUGCACGUCUUGACGGUACCUAAUCAGAAAGCCACGGCUAACUACGUG